CCUACGGGUGGCAGCAGUGGGGAAUAUUGGGCAAUGGGCGCAAGCCUGACCCAGCAAUGCCGCGUGAAGGAAGAAGGCCCUCGGGUUGUCAACCUCUUUUAUCAGGGACGAAGGAUGUGACGGUACCUGAUGAAUAAGCUCCGGCUAACUACGUGCCAGCAGCAGCGGUAAUACGUAGGGAGCAAGCGUUAUCCGGAUGUACUGGGUGUAAAGGGCGCGGAGGCGGGAUGGCAAGUCAGAUGUGAAAUCCAGGGGCUCAACCCCUGAACUGCAUUUGAAACUGUCGUUCUUGAGUGCUGGAGAGGUUGACGGAAGUCCUGGUGUAGCGGUGAAAGGCGUAGAUAUUAGGAGGAACACCGGUGGCGAAGGCGGCUUACUGGACUGUAACUGACGUUGAGGCACGAAAGCGUGGGGAGCAAACAGGAUUAGAUACCCCAGUAGUC
rnacentral:rRNA from 1 species